GCAAGUCGGGGGUGAUAUAUACUUCGGUAUAUUGAAACCGGCGAACGGGUAAGUAACACGUGGGAACCUACCCAGAAGAGGGGAAUAACCGUUGGAAACGACGGCUAAUACCGCAUAAUACCCUACGGGGGAAAGAUUUUAUCGCUUUUGGAUGGGCCCGCGGAAGAUUAGGUAGUUGGUGAGGUAAAAGCUCACAAAGCCUACGAUCUUUAGCUGGUCUGAGAGGACGGUC
rnacentral:rRNA from 1 species